AGUCACUGACAUUAGAUACCCGUGUAGUCCAGGGUGUAAACGCUGCAGACUUGGUGUUGGGGGCCCUUUGGGGGCAUUCAGUGCCGGAGAGAAGUUGUUAAGUCUGCUACUUGGGAGUACGUCCGCAAGGAUGAAACUUAAAGGAAUUGGCGGGGAGCACCGCAACGGGAGGAGCGUGCGGUUUAAUUGGAUUCAACACCGUAAAACUCACCAGGGAAGACUGUUACAUGAAGGCCGAGAUGAAGACUCUGCUAGAUUUUCAG
rnacentral:rRNA from 1 species